rnacentral:rRNA from 1 species
UACGUAGGGUGCAAGCGUUAAUCGGAAUUACUGGGCGUAAAGCGUGCGCAGGCGGUUUUGUAAGUCUGUCGUGAAAUCCCCGGGCUCAACCUGGGAAUGGCGAUGGAGACUGCAAGGCUAGAAUCUGGCAGAGGGGGGUAGAAUUCCACGUGUAGCAGUGAAAUGCGUAGAGAUGUGGAGGAACACCGAUGGCGAAGGCAGCCCCCUGGGUCAAGAUUGACGCUCAUGCACGAAAGCGUGGGGAGCAAACGGG